UAUUAUUAUUAUUAUUAUUAACAACAACAUUAAGACUGGGUGGCCAUCUGUCGGGAGUGCUUUGCUUGUGCUUUUGAUGCACAAAGGCAAUAGGGGGUUGGACUAAAUGGCCAAAGGGGUCUCUUCCAACCCUCUUUAUUUUUUUAUGAUGAUGGUGAUGAUGAUUAUUAACAUUGAGGCUGUAUUUGUUCCCGUUUUGUUUGUUUACUUCAAAAUAAGAUAUGUGCAGUGUGCACAGGAAUUUGUUCAUAGAUUUUUUUAAAACUAUAGACCAGCCCUCCAGCGAGCUGAGGGACCGUGAACUGGCCCCGUUUAAAAAGUUUGGGGACCCCCUGAGCCACACAGUGCACAGCAAGGACUUUGUUCCUUCCCCUCUCUCCCUCUUUCGCUUUCAUGUGCUCUCCUCCCAAGGGGCGCGGGCGGGAGAAUUGAAUUUCCGCCGCUUCCAAGUCUCUCUCUUUCUCUUUUGACUCCACGCGGCAACCGGUUGAUCAAACAAAGCGAAUCGGGGCAUCCAGCUCCUUCUUCCCUGAUGAAUCUUGGAGACAGACCAGAAAGGGAGAAUAUCUUCACAGAACAAAGACUGUCACUUCAGCAAAUGAGAAUAUGGACUAUUUACAUUGAUUUAGAAGAGCAGACAAAACAACGGUUUUAUACAGCACUAAAGGGAAAGACUGCAUUGCCAGUUUAGAAGGGCAAAGGCACAAAAUAAAGUUCACGAUUAAAUGGUAUUUAAAGUUUGUUUUCUCUGAUCAUAUCACGUGAAUAAAAUCUGCAGCAAGAAUAGGCUUAGUGUGGACAAUUAAGAGCUGUGUAUUCUCAAGAAAAAUGGCUGAAGCUCAUAUAAAAGAAACCCGAAUGAACCUAAAUGAAGAAGAGAAAGGAGCUGAGAUUGAAGCAGUCAAAAUGCUUUUGGCCAGAAGAUCCUUAGAGUAUUUUAAAAAAGGGUCUUCCUUGAACAACUGUUGGUGCUACAAGAGUGAAAGAGGAGAGUGGGUCGUACCUGUAACAUGUUUUUCUUUAGUAAUUUUGACAAUGACAGUUAUUAUUCUGAUCCUUGCCAUUUUGUUCACAGAGAGAAAAAGCGAAGGAUGUCCAGAUCUUCUCCCUGCUGUCUUUGCUGAUCCUUGUCCAAAAGGUUGGCUGGGAUAUCAAAUGAAAUGCUACUACUUUUCAGUGAAUGAAGGAAACUGGACCUCUGGCAACAGCCACUGUUCCUCCCACAAUGCCUCCUUGGCUGUGGUCGGCUCCCAAGAAACACUCGAUUUCUUUUUACGUUACAAAAGCCCUCCUGAUCACUGGAUUGGCCUCCAGAAAGAUUCAGGUCAACCUUGGAGAUGGAUCAAUGGCAGCAUUUUCACAGAAGGGUUCUUCACACUUCCAACUGAAAAGGGAAGGAGAUGUGCAUAUUUGAAUCAUAAAGCUGUUGCCAGCUCUAACUGCACAAGAGAAGAAUUCUGGAUCUGUAGCAAAGACAUGUUUAAAAGCAUUGCCUGAACUGCAGAAAUGGAGCCCUGAUUCCUCCUCUACACAUACACUGAAGCCCUUCAAAAUGUACUUGAGUGGAGUAUCGAAUCGGAAGGGGUAAAAGAUACAAUAAUCAAGUGGGCACAAGAUCUGGGCCACCCAAUUCUCCUCGGAGAUUGGGAAAAAACUGUGGAAGAUAAAAUUAAAAUAUUCGAGUUCUUUAAAAUUAAGGGAGAACUGGUAGCAAAUGUUCUUUCAAUGGUUCCUAACCCCACGGAGAUUAUCUAAAUACUAUAAAAAUCAAAAGAAGGAAUGUUGGAAGUGCAAUGCCCAAACAGUGACUUUUUUUACAUGUAUGGUGGGAAUGUAAAGGGAUUAAGGGAUUUUGGAAAAGGAUCCACACCCACUCACAAUUUUUUAAAAAAAAGAAAUUCACUUUUAAACCUGAAUAUUACAUUUUAAAUAUCAUGGACUUUCUGUUAGAAAGAAAUGAAGAUGUAUUAUUUUUCUACAUAACAGCAGCAACACGAGUCCUCAUAGCUCUAAGAUGGCGCUCCAAAGAAAUUUUGUCAGAAGACUCCUGGAUCACCAAACUAAGGGACUACAUGGAUUUGGACUCUAUGACUUUUCUAUUACAAGAACAUACAAAAAACAAAAUACAGACUGGUCACCGGUGGAAAAGUACUUCCGAGAAAAACGUCAUAUUAAUUUUGAGUUGACUACUUUAAUGAGACCAGUUGAAGCAAGAAAAUAGGCACGGGCUGUGGUGCAGGCUGGUGAGCAGCCAGCUGCAACAUAUCACUCUGACCAAGAGGUCAUGACUUCGAGGCCAGCUUGGAGCCUGCAUUUGCCUUUGUCUUUGUUCUAUGUUAAGGCAUUGAAUGUUUGCCUUAUAUGUGUAAUGUGAUCCGCCCUACGUCCCUUCGGGGUGAGAAGGGUGGAAUAUAAAUACUGUAAAUAAAUAAAUAAAGAGCGGGAAGUAU